rnacentral:rRNA from 1 species
CCUACGGGUGGCUGCAGUGGGGAAUAUUGGACAAUGGGCGAAAGCCUGAUCCAGCCAUGCCGCGUGUGUGAAGAAGGCCUUCGGGUUGUAAAGCACUUUCAGUGGGGAAGAAAGCCUUGGGGCUAAUACCCUCGAGGAAGGACAUCACCCACAGAAGAAGCACCGGCUAACUCCGUGCCAGCAGCCGCGGUAAUACGGAGGGUGCGAGCGUUAAUCGGAAUUACUGGGCGUAAAGCGCGCGUAGGCGGUCUGAUAAGCCGGUUGUGAAAGCCCCGGGCUCAACCUGGGAACGGCAUCCGGAACUGUCAGGCUAGAGUGCAGCAGAGGAAGGUAGAAUUCCCGGUGUAGCGGUGAAAUGCGUAGAGAUCGGGAGGAAUACCAGUGGCGAAGGCGGCCUUCUGGACUGACACUGACGCUGAGGUGCGAAAGCGUGGGUAGCAAACAGGAUUAGAUACCCUAGUAGUC